UUAUGCAGCUACAGUAGCUCUCUGCAACUCUCUGGUCGCCCACUGAAGCUAAGCAGAGCUGUGCCCGGUCAGUACCUGGAUGGGAAACCACAUGGGAAAACUAGGUUGCUGCAGGAG
rnacentral:rRNA from 1 species